rnacentral:lncRNA from 1 species
GCUACUGGGUAGGACUCUGGGGGAUAAGGUGGUUAGUGGAUGGAGUGGGGGAUUUUGUUAAGAUUUUAAAUUUAAUUUAUUUUAAUUUUUUUCUUUUCCUCAAAAUUCCUCUCUACAUUUGACAUUCUUUCUUUUCCCAAAUUCUUCUUCCAAACGUUUGGUAAGUGAUCGAGCCUUUCGAAUGGGAAAUACUUUCAAGUAUGUCAAUUGGGGUUUUGGUAUUUUUUUG